AUUUUGAGCAUUUAUUUAAUUUCUAACCAACGUGUUAUAAAUAAUUGCCAUGAGAAUUAGUUUAAAUUUAAGUUUAUUUUGCUUUUGCCCAACGGUGAUGCAAAAUUAAGUUUUCCGCUGCGUUCAUUACGCUAAGUUUAUUUUGUUUCUGCCCAAUGGUGAUGCAAAAUAUUAUUCAUGAGUUAAAUAAGUGUUUAAUUUGUUUCUGCCCAACGGUGGUGCAAUUAAUUUGUUUAUGUUUUAAUCUAGCCAAUGCUGAUUAAUUCAUUUAUUUAUGUUGUCAUUACUGAUUAAAUUCUUGUUUACUUGUUCAUACUCAGAUCCCACUCCUGCCAACAUCAUAGCUUAUGUCAAUGGUGUGGAGAAGCUGUCUGGCGAUAACUUCGCCAAAUGGAGUCGUGAGAUCCAUCUCAUUCUGGUGAUGAUGGAUAAGGACCACUCCAUGAGAGACCCAGCUCCAGUAGCACCAGUUGCACAAGGGACUGAUGAUACAUCCCUUGCUGAGCGUACUACUGCUUAUGAGAAGGACAAAGAGCGUUGGGAGCACUCCGACAGAGUGGCGCUCAUGGUUAUGGACUUGACCAUCAGCCCCACAAUCAGGGGAGCACUUGAGAAGGAGCCUAAGAAUGCUAAGAGCUUCAUGACGAGCAUUGAGCAGUACUGUAAGGGCUCUGCAAAGGCCGCCUCUAGUACUCUCUUGUCUCAGCUCAUGGGGGCCAGGUACAAUGGGCAAGGCAAUGUCAGAGAACACAUUAUGGGGAUGGUCAACAUGAGGGAUAAGCUUAAGGACCUCGAUUGCCCCUUAAUGAUGCUACAUUGCUUCACCAUGAUAUGAUCUCACUCCCACCAGCCUUUGAGACCUUCAAGGUAAACUACAAUAGUAGUGAUUAGAAGUGGGACAUAACCACUCUCGUGGCUAAGUGUGCCCAAGAGGAAGAAAGGCUUCGCACUCAGAACCCUGAUUUUGUUAACCACAUUAGACAAGGUGGUCGCAGAAACAACAACAACAACAGCAGGUUCUCUCGCUCCAAGAAAGAUAAGAAGGGUAAGAAACCCUAUGAUGGUCCUAAGCAGGAUGGCUCCUCCUCCUGUAAGACAUUCAAGUGCUACCACCGUGGCAAAGAAGGCCACAUCACUAAGGACUGUGAGGAGUUUAAGAAGUGGUGCGUUAAGAAAGGGAUUGUCUGGCAUGCGGACUAUAAGAAGGGGGACCCGAAGUCUCAGGGUCGCUAAUGGAGUUGAAGCAGAAGUGGAGGCCAUUGGGACUCUUCAGUUAGAGCUUCACGGCGACUUCACACUUCGUCUAUUAGAUGUGGAGGCCAUUGGGACUCUUCUGUUUCUAAGUUAGAUCGUGAUGGAUUUUCGUGCAUGUUUGGGAACAAUAGAUGUGUAAUAAGAUGUGAUGGUGACUUAAUUUGUUAUGCGCCUUUGCA